UCCCUUGUGGCUCAGACAGUAAAGAGUCUGCCUGCAAUGCAGGAGACCUGGGUUCGAUUCCUGGAUUGGGAA
rnacentral:tRNA from 1 species